CAACUCUUGAGGGGAGGUCUGAAGGAAGCCCAAGGCAAAAUCGCGGGGCGAUGGACAAGAACCCAAUAAGAGGUGUGAUACCAAUUUAAUCAAAGAGUGCAAUCUAUUAAGGCUUCAAGCAAUUGUUUAGACUGAACUUAUACAAUGCAAAAUUACAUGAAAUUGGUAUGAGGUACUCGGGGCCAGUGGGCACGUGACCAUUAAGCCCUCCAUCUGCAACGGGAGUGCGUUUUAUAAAUUGGGCGUCUACGCAGGGGGAAGUCAUAGGA
rfam:Nitrosococcus halophilus Nc4, complete genome.